GAAAAAGUUAAUUGAAGCUGCUAACUUUGAUGUGGGGUUAAACUCCCUUUUUCU
rnacentral:tRNA from 1 species